rnacentral:rRNA from 1 species
UAAUACGAAGGAUGCAAGCGUUAUCCGGAUUUAUUGGGUUUAAAGGGUGCGUAGGCGGGCUUAUAAGUCAGUGGUGAAAGCUCCCGGCUCAACCGGGAAAUUGCCAUUGAUACUGUAAGUCUUGAGUAUGGUUGAAGUGGGCGGAAUGUGCAGUGUAGCGGUGAAAUGCUUAGAUAUUGCACAGAACACCGAUUGCGAAGGCAGCUCGCUAAGCCAUAACUGACGCUGAGGCACGAAAGCAUGGGGAUCAAACAGGAUUAGAUACCCUGGUAGUCCAUGCCCUAAACGUUGAAUACUCGAUGUGUGCGAUAUACAGUACGCGUCUAAGCGAAAGCAUUAAGUAUUCCACCUGGGGAGUACGCUCGCAAGGGUG